UAGAUUCAAGUACAUCCAUGGCAGAACUUCCCUGGUGGUCCAGAGAUGAAGACUUCACCUUCCAAUGCAGGAGUGAUGCCACAAAAAAAGCUUGAAGUUAUGAUAUGCUGUAUCCCAGGAACAGUUUGACAGUUUCCUUACUGCUUAUAACCUGCAGUUCCCUACAGAGGCCUCCUCUCCACUGUAGUCUCUGCCAAGUGGUUGUCACAGCAUUAAUUAAACUGGAAGAAUAAAGGCAUUGCAUGUCAUUUUCUAUAUUGAAUGCCUUCAUGUUAUGGACGAAUCUCCAUGGAGAAAUCUGGUACAUAAACUGAAAACAAAUGCCUGAACAGGGAGCAUCCCUCUGGCAGGAGACACAAGAGCAGCAUCCCCUCAGUAGAUGAGCAAUCACUGCAAACCACCUUU